UACGUAGGUGGCAAGCGUUGUCCGGAUUUAUUGGGUUUAAAGGGUGCGUAGGCGGUUCUGUAAGUCAGUGGGGAAAUACUCUAGCUUAACUAGAGGGGUGCCAAUGAUACUGCAGAACUUGAGUACAGAUGAGGUAGGCGGAAUUGACGGUGUAGCGGUGAAAUGCAUAGAUAUCGUCAAGAACACCGAUAGCGAAGGCAGCUUACUGGGCUGUAACUGACGCUGAGGCACGAAAGUGUGGGGAUCAAACAGG
rnacentral:rRNA from 1 species